GAGGAGUCCCAGGCGGGUGGGCAGUCGGACUGAGCCCGACCGAGCUGGUGCUGCGAGCCGAAGCUGCCACCUUUUCUGCCGCCUCAGGCGAGGGGCUCAGCGCUUGCCCCGAAGAAGGGAGCACAGGACUCCCCCCUGGCCCCGCGGCCGGCGAGAGCUGAGAGCUGCAGCUGUCCCAGGGAAGUGACAUCGCCACCUCCGUGGACCGGACAUCCUCAGGAGCCCCGCUCACAGCCACUGAUACCUUCUUCCAGGACCAGCCAGGGGCCUCCAUGGGAGCCUGGGGGCAGGGCGCCAGGGCGGCGGGGGCGANNNNNNNNNNNNNNNNNNNNNUACCAGCGGUCCCACGAUGACACCACGCCGGUGAGCCGUGCUGGGAUGGGGGCGGGCAACCUAGGGAGCCCCAGGGCCUGGGGGCCGGGUCUCAGCU
rnacentral:lncRNA from 1 species